rnacentral:rRNA from 1 species
AUUGAACGCUGGCGGCAUGCUUUACACAUGCAAGUCGAACGGCAGCGCGGGCUUCGGCCUGGCGGCGGGUGGCGAACGGGUGGAUAAUUCAUGGGAACGUCCCAAUUAGUGGGGGAUAGCCCGGCAAAGGCGGGAUAAAUACGCCAUACGCCCUGAGGUUGAAAGCGGGGAACCGAAAGACCUCCGGCUCUUGCGCGGGCCGAUGUGGGAUUAGCUAGUUGGUGGGGUAAAGGCUUACCAAGGCGACGAUCCGUAGCUGGUCUGAGAGGCCGACCAGCCACACUGGGACUGAGACACGGCCCAGACUCCUACGGGAGGCAGCAGUGGGGAAUUUUGGACAAUGGGGGCAAGCCUGAUCCAGCCAUGCCGCGUGAGGGAAGAAGGCCUUCGGGUUGUAAACCGCUUUUGUUCGGGAAGAAAUCCUCUGGGCUAAUACCCCGGGGGGAUGACGGUACCGGAAGAAUAAGCACCGGCUAACUACGUG